rnacentral:lncRNA from 1 species
UUAUUUUAUUCCAAUGAAAUAAUAUUUUUUUCUCCACUUUGAUUCGUCACACAACGAUGGCAAUUCCCCCCAAAUCUGACCGUCGUCCGCUCUGGCAGUUCGAUUCGACCAUCGUUGAUUAUCCAUCCAUGCAGGAAUUUAACAACACUAACCAAGGUGAUUGAUAUGAGGCUGUUCAAUUAUUCUGAAGUUGAGAAAGACAUUUGAUGCUUUGGAAAUUAAGAACCCUAGAAAUGGAUUUGGGAUCGAGAAGGCGAUGAUUCAAGGACGUUGGAGGCAAGCAAACCCUAUUCAAGAAGAACCGGUAGAAAUCAUUGGAUGCGAUGAUACUCAGCUUCAGAUGCCAUUAGUAUCAAGAUUAAUCCCACCAUUAAUCUUCUUCAAUUUGCCCUAGCAAUAACGUCAUCAAAUGCCUUCGACUUCUCCAUUGACAUUUCCAACUGAAAAAGAAAGAAGGAAAAAAUAUUUUUCAUUUUCUUUACUAACGAUGCGACUAGUUAUUUCGUUGCAAACUUCCACAGUAGAUGUUUUGAUAUCUUAUCAGGAAGAAUUAAAUAAAGAAAUUUAUAUUUAAUUUAUACAAUUUUGAAGAAUUCUAGAUCUGAAUCUAUCUUGUUAUUACCUUUCGACACAACAAAAUUAUUAUUCUUCAGAAUAUCGGAUAUGCUAAUCACAGAUCCCGCUGCUAUAAAAGCAAAAAAUAAACGAUUAAUAAUUUCCAAAGAAAACAUAAUAAUUCAUAAUCCUACCCAUUCCAAGUGUAGAUAAUUCAAUUUCUCCAUACUGCUGAAGAUAUUUCUGAAAAUGCAAGAUCACCAUUUAGAAAUAUUAGAUAAAAAUAAAUCGCUGAAAAACAUAAUGAUCUGAACAGUACCUUGGCUAGGUCAACGUAGAAGAAUAACAAAUCACCCUAUGAAAUAAUCUAUAAUAAAAAAUAGAACUAUGAUACACAAAAAACUUUUGGUUGGUUGUGUUAUGCAACAAGUAAUAGAGAACAUAAGUUCUCACCAAGAUCCUUUAAAGGAAUAUUCAUGAGAUAUCCCCCAAAUGUUAAAGGAUAUUUAAUACUAGAUCCAGAAACUAAAAACUUUCACAUUAGUAGAAAUGUGGUUUUUAGAGAAAACGUAUUUCCCUUCAAAACUGUAGAAACAAAAGAAAGCAUACAGAAUUCGUAUCAACAAAAUAAAAUAUAUAUAUAAUGAAAUAAUACUCACACAUGAAAAUGAAAGGAAAAACGUAACUCAAAAAGACAAAAUCAAUUUGUCUACACAAUCAAAAUAUUCAAACUAAAAUAAAAAAGAGAAUACUCUCAUAGAACCAAUACGUUCUAAUCCAAGCAAAAAUGGUCAUACCCAGAACAUUACAACAUACAUGAUUUUUUAGAAGAAAAUCUAAGUUCAACCUCAGAAAAACUAUUGAAUAAUUCAAAAGAGGAAAUAAAUCAAAACAUAAAUCUAUCAGAUUAUAUAAAUAAUGAAAAAAAUAAUUCAUCAGAUAACCAAAUAAAUUCUGAUAAAUCAUCAGAAAAUCAAAUAAAUCAUAACCUAUCAAAGAAUCAAUCUGAUAAAUACACAGAUCAAAAUUUAAACCAAAUUCAAAUAAUAACUGAAACUCAAAACAAAAAUGAUCAAACUUCAACAAACAUAUUACAAAGAAACAAUGAAGUUAUAAAUAAUAAAAUAACAAUGAACACCAUAAUAAAAUCUGAGAGAGAGGUAAAUAAAACUAAAUAUUUUGAGAAUAACUAACUUAAAGAUGAUAGUUAAUAUCAAACAAUAUAUCCAAUAAGCAAUCAUGUCUCAUAUCAUAGAAUAAAUAGAAAUCAUAAAUAAUUUUUAAAACAAAUAACAAUCAAUAAUGAACCCAACACAUAUAAGGAAGCUUCAAAUUAAAUAAUCCAAAAUAGGUAGAAGCAAUGAAAAAAGAGAUGGAUGCAUUAUUAGAAAAUAACCUCCAUUUCAUCAUCCAAAUUGAAAGGACUUCAUCUUCAAGCCAUGGAGAAAGAGAAGAAGAAAGGAAAGCUUCAUUUUAUAAUCAUCCCAUACCUAGCCCCGGGCCAUAUACUCCCAUCUAUUGAUUUUGGCCGUCUACUAACCAGUCGUGGAAAUGUAGUAACAAUAAUCACUACAACUCCGGCUUACGUUGCGCGUUUCACACAUUUCAAAACAACGACCGCAAACCAACCACCUAUUCGGUUCGCAGGUGUGCCUCCUAGGCAAGGAGGGUGCGAGAGCGCAUAUGAAGUAAAAGAUCCUCUAUGUGUGUUUGAAAUAUCUAAGGGGGUGAAAGAUCUAGUGAAGGAAUGGAUUGAAAAAGAGAAGAUGGGUGUUUAUGGUGAUAUUCCGAUUUGCAUGGUAUCAGAUUAUUGCCAAACAUGGACGAGAAACGUUGCGUCCGAGUUUGGGUUGGUGAGAUUUGUGUUCAAUUGUAUUGGAAGCUUACCGUCGUUGUGUGAAGCAAUCUUGCAAAAGAGCUAUGGCGAAAUAGCAGAGGAGGAAAUAAUUGAUAAUAGAGAGAAGGUUAUAAAAGGAAUACCAGAAUAUGGCAGUGACAAAAGGAAAAGUUUCCGGUUUCUUUCCCAAGGGUACAUCAAUGUAUGAUGAGGUUGGUGAUGUUGUUAAUUUAAAUAAUUUUUUUCUUUGAUGUAAUUAAAUUUCAUUAAAAGAUAUUAGGCCAAUGCCCAAUUUACAUAAACAAUAUAAAAAAGGAAAGGACGUUGUAUGGCGGACUUGUAGCGGUGGAUUUUUGCCAUGACAAGUGCAGCACUUUUGAUGGCGGAUUUCCUCCAUCAAUUCAUUUAAUCCGCCAUUGCAAGUCUUGGACAAGCCGACCGAUUUUAUAGUUUACAGAAUUUUAAAUCCACUGAAUUUCAAAGACGUGUUAAAAAUAUUAACUGUAAGUAUAUAUAUAUGCGUGUGUGUGUUUAAAUAUUUUAGUUCUUUUCCAAAACUAAUAAAUUUUAAAUACGUAGAAUGAGUAUGAUUUCAUUCAAAGCAAAACGGGACAAAUUUAUAUCAAUAUUAAGUCGAAAAAGUUUCGUAGGAGCAACCAUAAUUUUUUGGUUAAACAACAUGACAGAGAUCCAAAUAUGACUGAAGAAGAAUUUUUUUCAAACUCUUCCGACUUUUGUCAGCAAAUCUCAAUUUCUGAAUAAAUUGAGACAAUCAAAAGCGGAGAGAGGAAAUGUGUGUAUAUAUUUAUUGAAAUUAAAAAUUCUCUCAGUUAUUAUUUCUUAUUUUUAAUUUUUUUAGGAAAUUUUCGAGAUAAAUUUCACAAAUCGAACGAAUCAAAUGAUACAUCACGCUGGUUCAAAAGGAUUAGCCCAACGACGCCAUGAAUUGGUAAUGAUUAAUAUUUUAUAUUGAAAUUAUUCAAAUACUAAUUGAUCAUGUUAAUAUAGAGAAAACAAUGAAGGGAUGAGCUCGAAGCCUGGCCGAAUCAUUAUCAAUGACAUGUCGGAGAAAAGAAAAAAUAGUAAGCUUUUUUUUAAUAAAUUAUCAUUUUUCUUUUUUAAUAUUUCAAUUUUAAUAUUUCUGCAGCGAGAAGCCACCAACUUUAUUCAAAGCCAAGAAGAAAAAUCUUUGGGUGAAACGAAAUCUAUGAUACCUAUUGUAAGUUUAAUUAAUUUAUAUAUAUUUUUUAUAUAUUCGAUUUACUAUUUAUCUAUUUUUUCAAUAAAACAAUUCAUCAAAGAUUAUGGGGAUUGGAGAAGUAGAGAGUAUGUUUAGUACGACCAACGAAAGAAUGGCGCCCCUGAUUGGAAAGAAAAAGGCAUCUCAGAAAACACUUUUGUAUCUAAUGACGAGCGUCAAAGGUAGUGGACGACAAAAAUGAACAAAAUUAAGUUAUUUUUAAUUUAUUUAAUUGAAUUCAAAUAUUUUUGAACUUAUUUAUAUAAUUAUGGAAUAUGUUUAAAAUUCCAGAACGUGCAAAAAAAUAGCACGAAGAAAUUAACCUUCUUAAGAACGCGCAAAAAAAGAAAUUAACCAUUAAUCUUUUUCAGAUUUGGAUUUGCCCUAGAAAGAACCUCUUCAAAUACCUUCGACUUCUCCAUUGAAAUUUCCAACUGAAAAAGAAAGAAGGAAAAAAUUAUUUAAAAUUAAGAAAUCGAACGACUAAAUUAACAAUAAACGGAUCUUGUUUUACCUUUGCUUUACAAACGAUGCGACCAGUUGUUUCGUUGCAAACUUUCACAGUUGAUGUUUUGAUAUCUUAUCAGAAAUAAUUAAAUAAAGAAAUUAAUUUUUAAUUUUUUGAUGAAUUCUAGAUAUGAAUCUAUCUUGUUAUUUUACCUUUCAACACAGCAAAAUUGUUAUUCUUCAGAAUCUCAGAUAUGCCAAUCACAGAUCCCGUCGCUAAAAAACGCCAAAAAGAAACGAUUAAUAAUUUUCAAUGAAAACAUAAUCAAUAAUAAUUCAUAAUCCUACCCAUUCCAAGUGCAGAUAAUUCAAUUUCUUCAUACUGCUGAAGAUAUUUCUGAAAAUCCAUGAUCAUCAGUUAGAAAAUAGCCAAAAAUAAAUCGUCGAAAAACAUAAUGAUCUGAACAGUACCUUGGCUAGAUUAACGUAGAAGUAUAUUGGUUUCUUUAUAUUAGAAACCUGGAUCCUAUUCUUCUUAUGCUCCACCUUUUCAGUGAUCUUGAAUUUCUUGAUUUUCUCUGCGAUUUCGUCAAUGGAUGCCAUGGAUUCGAGCUAGAUUUCGAAUUUUUCGAAUGAAAUCCUGUUAACAUCCAGAUGAAGAAUACUGAUAUAUAAACAGAUUAAAGAUUCGAUAUUCAUAAAAAAGAGAGACCAAUUUAAUUAGUGGUCACGAAAAAAAUCUAAUAAUAACCAAAUUCAUUUUAUUAUAUUAAAUCUAGGGAUUAUUAUAAUUAGCAAGUUUUUUUAGUGACCACUAAUUCGAUUGGACAUCCCUUACAUUUAUUUUAUAUAAAUACCAACAAUCUCAUUCAUCUGUGUUCUAUUAAAUUUUGUUGGUCUAGCUAUUUACAAGAUUACAGAAUUAAAAUGUGGCUCAAAUUCAUGGCAUUCGUUAAAGAAAUCAAGGAACAAAUCAGUAACACCAAGUUCAUAUCUAAAUCCCAGGCAUAAGAAGAACAUAAUUAGGGUUUAUAAGAAAAAUCAAUCAAUCUAAUGAUCUGAACAGUACCUUGGCUAGGUCAACGUAGAAGAAUAACAAAUGAUACACAAAAAAUAACUUUUGGUUGCUUGUGUUAUGCAACUACAAAUAAUAGAGAAUAUAAGUUCUCACCAAGCAACUACAAAUAAUAGAGAAUAUAAGUUCUCACCAAGAUCCUUUAAAGGAAUAUUCAUAAGAUAUCCCCCAAAUGUUAAAGGAUAUUUAAUACUAGAUCCACAAACUACAAACUUUCACAUUAGUAGAAAUGUGGUUUUUAGAGAAAACAUAUUUUCCUUCAAAAGUGAAGAAACAAAAGAAAACAUACAAAAUUCAGACUAACCCAAAAUUCAGAAAAGUUGUGGGUUCAAAAUGGAUCUACAAAAUAAAAUACAAACCCAAUAUUGGAGACAUUGAGAGAUAUAAAGGUAGGUUUGUUGCCAAGGCUUUACUCAAAAAAAGGAUUUGAUUUUUAUGAAAGUUUUGUUCCGGUAGCAAAAACAGUUCAUAUGUUCAACAAAGCAUUAGUUGAAAACAUAUUAAGAGCCUCUCUAAAGCUUGGAAUAACAAAUAUCUACUCCAAGACUUGAGAGGGGAGAAAAGGAAUCAAUUAGUAAAUUAAAUAAUUAAGAUCUCUAAAUUAACUUCAUUUUACUUUAAGUCUUUUCAUGUAAUUUGUAAAACAUUUUUGGACUUAAGUGAAAUAACAAAGUAAUUGAACAUUUUCAUAUAUGGGCCAAUAUUAAAGCCCAGUGAAAGAUAUUAACAUCAUACAACCCAAAAGCAAUGGAUCAAAUAUCUUGAAUUACAAUUAGUUGUUUAAAGAUCUUGAAUUUAAUUAGUUGUUUAAAAAUAAUUGUAAUUAGUUAAAGAUAACUAAAAGAUUAUAGUUGAUUAUAAUUAAUAUAAAUAAGGCUGUAAAUAAUGUUAUUUUAUUCCAAUGAAAUAAUAUUUUUUUGUCCACUUUGAUUCGUCACACAACGAUGGCAAUUCCCCCCCAAAUCUGACCGUCGUCCGCUCUGGCAGUUCGAUUCGACCAUCGUCGAUUAUCCAUCCAUGCAGGAAUUUAACAACACUAACCAAGGUGAUUGAUAUGAGGCUGUUCAAUUAUUCUGAAGUUGAGAAAGACAUUUGAUGCUUUGGAAAUUAAGAACCCUAGAAAUGGAUUUGGGAUCGAGAAGGCGAUGAUUCAAGGACGUUGGAGGCAAGCAAACCCUAUUCAAGAAGAACCGGUAGAAAUCAUUGGAUGCGAUGAUACUCAGCUUCAGAUGCCAUUAGUAUCAAGAUUAAUCCCACCAUUAAUCUUCUUCAAUUUGCCCUAGCAAUAACGUCAUCAAAUGCCUUCGACUUCUCCAUUGACAUUUCCAACUGAAAAAGAAAGAAGGAAAAAAUAUUUUUCAUUUGCUUUACUAACGAUGCGACUAGUUAUUUCGUUGCAAACUUCCACAGUAGAUGUUUUGAUAUCUUAUCAGGAAGAAUUAAAUAAAGAAAUUUAUAUUUAAUUUAUACAAUUUUGAAGAAUUCUAGAUCUGAAUCUAUCUUGUUAUUACCUUUCGACACAACAAAAUUAUUAUUCUUCAGAAUAUCGGAUAUGCUAAUCACAGAUCCCGCUGC